rnacentral:rRNA from 1 species
UAACGCGUGGGUAACCUGCCUCAUACAGGGGGAUAACAGUUAGAAAUGACUGCUAAUACCGCAUAAGCGCACAGUGCUGCAUGGCACAGUGUGAAAAACUCCGGUGGUAUGAGAUGGACUCGCGUCUGAUUAGCUAGUUGGUGGGGUAACGGCCCACCAAGGCGACGAUCGGUAGCCGGACUGAGAGGUUGAACGGCCACAUUGGGACUGAGACACGGCCCAG